rnacentral:rRNA from 1 species
GAUUAAGUUAUUAAGGGCGCACGGUGGAUGCCUUGGCACUAGAAGCCGAUGAAGGACGUUACUAACGACGAUAUGCUUUGGGGAGCUGUAAGUAAGCUUUGAUCCAGAGAUUUCCGAAUGGGGAAACCCAGCAUGAGUUAUGUCAUGUUAUCGAUAUGUGAAUACAUAGCAUAUCAGAAGGCACACCCGGAGAACUGAAACAUCUUAGUACCCGGAGGAAGAGAAAGAAAAUUCGAUUCCCUUAGUAGCGGCGAGCGAAACGGGAAGAGCCCAAACCAACAAGCUUGCUUGUUGGGGUUGUAGGACACUCUAUACGGAGUUACAAAGGACGACAUUAGACGAAUCAUCUGGAAAGAUGAAUCAAAGAAGGUAAUAAUCCUGUAGUCGAAAAUGUUGUCUCUCUUGAGUGGAUCCUGAGUACGACGGAGCACGUGAAAUUCCGUCGGAAUCUGGGAGGACCAUCUCCUAAGGCUAAAUACUCUCUAGUGACCGAUAGUGAACCAGUACCGUGAGGGAAAGGUGAAAAGCACCCCGGAAGGGGAGUGAAAUAGAACCUGAAACCGUGUGCUUACAAGUAGUCAGAGCCCGUUAAUGGGUGAUGGCGUGCCUUUUGUAGAAUGAACCGGCGAGUUACGAUUUGAUGCAAGGUUAAGCAGUAAAUGUGGAGCCGUAGCGAAAGCGAGUCUGAAUAGGGCGUUUAGUAUUUGGUCGUAGACCCGAAACCAGGUGAUCUACCCUUGGUCAGGUUGAAGUUCAGGUAACACUGAAUGGAGGACCGAACCGACUUACGUUGAAAAGUGAGCGGAUGAACUGAGGGUAGCGGAGAAAUUCCAAUCGAACCUGGAGAUAGCUGGUUCUCUCCGAAAUAGCUUUAGGGCUAGCCUCAAGUGAUGAUUAUUGGAGGUAGAGCACUGUUUGGACGAGGGGCCCCUCUCGGGUUACCGAAUUCAGACAAACUCCGAAUGCCAAUUAAUUUAACUUGGGAGUCAGAACAUGGGUGAUAAGGUCCGUGUUCGAAAGGGAAACAGCCCAGACCACCAGCUAAGGUCCCAAAAUAUAUGUUAAGUGGAAAAGGAUGUGGCGUUGCCCAGACAACUAGGAUGUUGGCUUAGAAGCAGCCAUCAUUUAAAGAGUGCGUAAUAGCUCACUAGUCGAGUGACACUGCGCCGAAAAUGUACCGGGGCUAAACAUAUUACCGAAGCUGUGGAUUGUCCUUUGGACAAUGGUAGGAGAGCGUUCUAAGGGCGUUGAAGCAUGAUCGUAAGGACAUGUGGAGCGCUUAGAAGUGAGAAUGCCGGUGUGAGUAGCGAAAGACGGGUGAGAAUCCCGUCCACCGAUUGACUAAGGUUUCCAGAGGAAGGCUCGUCCGCUCUGGGUUAGUCGGGUCCUAAGCUGAGGCCGACAGGCGUAGGCGAUGGAUAACAGGUUGAUAUUCCUGUACCACCUAUAAUCGUUUUAAUCGAUGGGGGGACGCAGUAGGAUAGGCGAAGCGUGCGAUUGGAUUGCACGUCUAAGCAGUAAGGCUGAGUAUUAGGCAAAUCCGGCACUCGUUAAGGCUGAGCUGUGAUGGGGAGAAGACAUUGUGUCUUCGAGUCGUUGAUUUCACACUGCCGAGAAAAGCCUCUAGAUAGAAAAUAGGUGCCCGUACCGCAAACCGACACAGGUAGUCAAGAUGAGAAUUCUAAGGUGAGCGAGCGAACUCUCGUUAAGGAACUCGGCAAAAUGACCCCGUAACUUCGGGAGAAGGGGUGCUCUUUAGGGUUAACGCCCAGAAGAGCCGCAGUGAAUAGGCCCAAGCGACUGUUUAUCAAAAACACAGGUCUCUGCUAAACCGUAAGGUGAUGUAUAGGGGCUGACGCCUGCCCGGUGCUGGAAGGUUAAGAGGAGUGGUUAGCUUCUGCGAAGCUACGAAUCGAAGCCCCAGUAAACGGCGGCCGUAACUAUAACGGUCCUAAGGUAGCGAAAUUCCUUGUCGGGUAAGUUCCGACCCGCACGAAAGGCGUAACGAUUUGGGCACUGUCUCAACGAGAGACUCGGUGAAAUCAUAGUACCUGUGAAGAUGCAGGUUACCCGCGACAGGACGGAAAGACCCCGUGGAGCUUUACUGUAGCCUGAUAUUGAAAUUCGGCACAGCUUGUACAGGAUAGGUAGGAGCCUUUGAAACGUGAGCGCUAGCUUACGUGGAGGCGCUGGUGGGAUACUACCCUAGCUGUGUUGGCUUUCUAACCCGCACCACUUAUCGUGGUGGGAGACAGUGUCAGGCGGGCAGUUUGACUGGGGCGGUCGCCUCCUAAAAGGUAACGGAGGCGCUCAAAGGUUCCCUCAGAAUGGUUGGAAAUCAUUCAUAGAGUGUAAAGGCAUAAGGGAGCUUGACUGCGAGACCUACAAGUCGAGCAGGGUCGAAAGACGGACUUAGUGAUCCGGUGGUUCCGCAUGGAAGGGCCAUCGCUCAACGGAUAAAAGCUACCCCGGGGAUAACAGGCUUAUCUCCCCCAAGAGUUCACAUCGACGGGGAGGUUUGGCACCUCGAUGUCGGCUCAUCGCAUCCUGGGGCUGUAGUCGGUCCCAAGGGUUGGGCUGUUCGCCCAUUAAAGCGGUACGCGAGCUGGGUUCAGAACGUCGUGAGACAGUUCGGUCCCUAUCCGUCGUGGGCGUAGGAAAUUUGAGAGGAGCUGUCCUUAGUACGAGAGGACCGGGAUGGACAUACCUCUGGUGUACCAGUUGUCGUGCCAACGGCAUAGCUGGGUAGCUAUGUGUGGACGGGAUAAGUGCUGAAAGCAUCUAAGCAUGAAGCCCCCCUCAAGAUGAGAUUUCCCAACUUCGGUUAUAAGAUCCCUCAAAGAUGAUGAGGUUAAUAGGUUCGAGGUGGAAGCAUGGUGACAUGUGGAGCUGACGAAUACUAAUCGAUCGAAGACUUAAUCAA